rfam:Mus musculus chromosome 9, GRC primary reference assembly.
GCCUCCUUAGUGUAGUAGGCAUUGUGUCAGUCUCAUAAUCUGAAGGUCCUGAGUUCAAACCUCAGAAUGGGCA